AAGUCGGGCUGACCGAUGUUUUUUUGUUUUGCAGGACGGGGGCGCGCGUGGAAAGCGAUCGGAAAUGGAAUUCCAACGGAUUACCGAAGGAUCUUAGGGGGGAACGAACGCAUUUUUUUGGACUAGCCGGAACCCGUAGAUCCGAACUUGUGUCGUUGUUUCUUAUCACAAGUUUGUAUUUACAGGAACCUGCUGGUUGUAUGCAAGUCGGCGCGCGAAUCUCGUCGGCCCGCCGGCGCUCACGGAGGAGAAGGCUUUUACGGCAGUGUCUGGUUGAGGUAGUAGGUUGUAUAGUAAGUAUUACACCGUUUUGGAGUACUGUACAGCCUGCUAACUUUCCUAGACUCUCGCCAAGUGCAACGUCCACCGCCGAUCGACGUCGCUUACAUUUUUAAUACUCUACCUACACACGUUUGUAAUUUAAGGCAAAUUGUAUCGAAUGGCUCAAUUUGCCUGUU